rnacentral:rRNA from 1 species
GCUCAGGACGAACGCUGGCGGCGUGCCUAAUACAUGCAAGUCGAGCGGACAGAAGGGAGCUUGCUCCCGGAUGUUAGCGGCGGACGGGUGAGUAACACGUGGGUAACCUGCCUGUAAGACUGGGAUAACUCCGGGAAACCGGAGCUAAUACCGGAUAGUUCCUUGAACCGCAUGGUUCAAGGAUGAAAGACGGUUUCGGCUGUCACUUACAGAUGGACCCGCGGCGCAUUAGCUAGUUGGUGGGGUAAUGGCUCACCAAGGCGACGAUGCGUAGCCGACCUGAGAGGGUGAUCGGCCACACUGGGACUGAGACACGGCCCAGACUCCUACGGGAGGCAGCAGUAGGGAAUCUUCCGCAAUGGACGAAAGUCUGACGGAGCAACGCCGCGUGAGUGAUGAAGGUUUUCGGAUCGUAAAGCUCUGUUGUUAGGGAAGAACAAGUGCGAGAGUAACUGCUCGCACCUGACGG